UACGGAGGGUGCGAGCGUUGUCCGGAAUCAUUGGGCGUAAAGGGCGCGUAGGUGGCCCGGUCAGUUCGUGGUGAAAGCGCGGGGCUCAACCCUGCGUCGGCCAUGAAUACUGCCGCGGCUGGAGCACUGUAGAGGCAGGCGGAAUUCCGGGUGUAGCGGUGGAAUGCGUAGAGAUCCGGAAGAACGACCGGUGGCGAGGCGGC
rnacentral:rRNA from 1 species